rnacentral:pre_miRNA from 1 species
CACUAGAGGUGGAUGAAGCUGCCAGCAUGAUCUGAGAAACUAGUGCUUGAUCCUUUUACUGAUUUCCAUCUAGCCUGCAUCUAUAUAUAUACCUUGAUGCAUGAAUCAUGGUCUGAUGAUAGUUAAGCGAGAUCAGAUCGUCUGGCAGUUUCAUCUUCUUAUGGC